rnacentral:rRNA from 1 species
CCUACGGGUGGCAGCAGUAGGGAAUCUUUCACAAUGGGCGAAAGCCUGAUGGAGCAACGCCGCGUGCAGGAUGAAGGCCUUCGGGUUGUAAACUGCCUUUAUAAGCGAGACAUAUGAUGGUAACUUAUGAAUAAGGAUCGGCUAACUACGUGACAGCAGCCGCGGUCAUACGUAGGAUCCGAGCAUUAUCCGGAGUGACUGGGUGUAAAGAGUUGCGUAGGUGGGAUAAUAAGUAGCUAGUGAAAUCUGGUGGCUCAACCAUUCAGACUAUUAGCUAAACUGUUAAGCUCGAGACCGUUAGGGGUAACUGGAAUUUGUAGUGUAGGAGUGAAAUCCGUAGAUAUUAGAAGGAACACCAAUAGCGUAGGCAGGUUGCUGGGACGGUACUGACACUAAGGCACGAAAGCGUAGGGAGCAAACGGGAUUAGAUACCCCAGUAGUC